CCACUGCCUUGAAUUUAUUAGCCGAAUCGUUUAGUUAAGACUGCAAUGAACGAACACUGAUGUAGAUGUUAGUGCACACUACAGCACAUACAGAAACCAAAACAAAACAAAACAAACAACAGAAACCACAAAAUUUAUAAUUCAAAAUGAUUGAGUCAACAAUGAGAAUUUGUUCUUCAGAAAGUGUUGUUCAAUGAGUUUGAAAUGAUGAAGAAUCAGUUAACAAGCAACAGCACUGAUCACGAGAAUCAUGAGGUAAACGUGGCAUCUCCCACCAGUGGAAAUCAACACAACCACACAGUCACUAACAGAGAUAAAACAUACAGUCCACACACAUAACCAAAGCCAGGGCUGUCGGAACUGGGGGAGGGGCGUACCACACCUCCCCCAUUUGAGAUACAAAACAUUUACUUUUU